rnacentral:rRNA from 1 species
AUUGAACGCUGGCGGCAUGCCUUACACAUGCAAGUCGAACGGCAGCACGGGAGCAAUCCUGGUGGCGAGUGGCGAACGGGUGAGUAAUAUAUCGGAACGUGCCCGGUCGUGGGGAUAACGUAGCGAAAGCUACGCUAAUACCGCAUACGAUCUACGGAUGAAAGCGGGGGGAUCGCAAGACCUCGCGCGAUUGGAGCGGCCGAUAUCAGAUUAGGUAGUUGGUGAGGUAAAGGCUCACCAAGCCGACGAUCUGUAGCUGGUCUGAGAGGACGACCAGCCACACUGGGACUGAGACACGGCCCAGACUCCUACGGGAGGCAGCAGUGGGGAAUUUUGGACAAUGGGCGCAAGCCUGAUCCAGCAAUGCCGCGUGCAGGAUGAAGGCCUUC